UUGUAGCCGGGGGGGUGCUCUCUGAAUGAGAGCUGAGAUGAUACCCUUGGAACCUGACCCAGUUAAUGCUGGCGGAGGAAUCGGCUAAAGUAGUUUU
rnacentral:ncRNA from 1 species